AUGAAAUGGUGCUUGAUCAUAUUCUUGCUGGAAGCAGCAGUUGAAGGUGCCCACUCCCAAGUCCAGCUGCAGCAGUCUGGGGCUGAGGUGCUAAGGCCUGGACCCUCAGUGAAGGUGUCUUCCAAGGCUUCUGGCUCUACCUUCACCAGCUCCUACGUGGACUGGGUGAAGCAGAAAACUGGAAAUUGCCUGGAGUGGAUUGGAAGAAUUCUUCCUGGAAGUGGUGUUACUGACUAUGCUCAGAAGCUCACGGGCAAGGCUGCACUGACUGCAGACCAAUACUCCAGCACAGCCUACAUGGAGCUCAGCAGCCUGACAUCUGAGGACUCUGCCGUCUAUUACUAUUACUAUUACACAGUGUUGUGA